rnacentral:lncRNA from 1 species
UAGUUUCUUUUCCUACUCAGAAAAUUGAAUCUUGUGUGUGGUAGUUCAUCUCCUUACUCUUUCCCACUUUCAGUUUAUCACUACCAGGAGUUCCUGUACCGCAGAUUCCAGAGCAGAAUCAGAAAUGAACAGGAAAAUAUGCCAAAGAACAGGAGAAGGGGCAAGGAAAAUAAAUUGAGUCUCAUAAUGGAGAAUUUGGAAAAGGAGGAGAGAGAAAAGGAAAAAUAUGUUUUGUCCUCAAACUUUGUGGUGUUUGAACACGGAUUCAGAAUGAAUUGAGUUCAACAACGAGGUAUCACAAUACAGUGUAAAUGAUACCAAGCAGCCAAUGAAACUAGGUUAGAAACAGCCAUCAACUUCGUCUGGUUCUCUUGAAUCUCAUGCUUUGUGGACACCCAAGGAGCCCCUGCUGCAGAAUUAAAACACCAACUUCAGGACUGGCUGAGUUCCUUAGGACACCCAGCACGAGCAUCGCAGUCACGUGACAAAUCUUGAAGGUAGGUCUUCAAGCCCUACUCAAACAGUCCCAGGUAAUAUUUUGUGGAGAAGAGAGUAUCUGUUCCACUGAGCUCAAAGUUGAGGAUGUGUGAGAAGAAACAAAAUAAAACAAGUGAUCGCAUUUGUUUUCAGCCUCCA